AUCUUAUCCCUUCGAGUCGUUCUUCCAGCUGGCUUCUGACCUCUUACACAAUGGCAUUUGUAGCCUGCAACGGAAUCAGAAAAACAAAAUAUUAAACGUGUACUCCUACCACCUAAAUGAUAGUCAUUACUGGUUUUGGUUGCCAUCUCUAAUUGAUGCAUGCAGAUCCAAAUAUAUAAAAUAAAUGAGAGCAGCGACGGAGAGAUUGUACAGAUAAAGUUUCCAUGAUUCAUUGGCAGCGGCUUAGAUGGCGGCAAGCCAGCGAGUGGACAGAGGCACGAUGUUGGCAUGGACUUCUCCGGAGCAGCAGCAACAGCUGAUUGAUCAUUUACAGAGAUUGUCACUGCCAUUGAAAGUUAAUAAAAGAGAGUCAUGCUUGUGCAUCCUGUAUAUAGUUGGCUAUUUUAUAGAACUAUUGAUCAUUUUCACCUUUCUUUUAGAUCC
rnacentral:lncRNA from 1 species